rnacentral:rRNA from 1 species
GAUGAACGCUGGCGGCGUGCUUAACACAUGCAAGUCGAACGGAUUUAUUUUAUGGAAGCCUUCGGGUGGAAGUAAAAUAAGUUAGUGGCGGACGGGUGAGUAACGCGUGGGUAACCUGCCUUAUACAGGGGGAUAACAACCGGAAACGGUUGCUAAUACCGCAUAAGCGCACGGUGUCGCAUGACACAGUGUGAAAAGAUUUAUCGGUAUAAGAUGGACCCGCGUCUGAUUAGCUAGUUGGUGAGGUAAUGGCUCACCAAGGCAACGAUCAGUAGCCGGCUUGAGAGAGUGAACGGCCACAUUGGGACUGAGACACGGCCCAAACUCCUACGGGAGGCAG